UACAGAGGGUGCGAGCGUUAAUCGGAAUUACUGGGCGUAAAGCGCGCGCAGGCGGUUCAGUAAGUUGGAUGUUUAAUGCCGGGGCUCAACCCCGGUACGCAUCCAAAACUGGUGGACUUGAGUGUAGGAGAGGAAAGUGGAAUUCCACGUGUAGCGGUGAAAUGCGUAGAGAUGUGGAGGAACACCAGUGGCGAAGGCGACUUUCUGGCCUAUAACUGACGCUGAGGCGCGAAAGCGUGGGGAGCAAACAGG
rnacentral:rRNA from 1 species